rnacentral:rRNA from 1 species
UGAGGUUUCGGCCAAAGGAAAUGGUUGCUUAGUGGCGGACUGGUGAGUAACGCGUGAGGAACCUGCCUUUCAGAGGGGGACAACAGUUGGAAACGACUGCUAAUACCGCAUGACACAUUGGGGUCGCAUGGCCCCGAUGUCAAAGAUUUAUCGCUGAAAGAUGGCCUCGCGUCUGAUUAGCUAGUUGGUGAGGUAACGGCCCACCAAGGCGACGAUCAGUAGCCGGACUGAGAGGUUGAACGGCCACAUUGGGACUGAGAUACGGCCCAGACUCC